UAGCUACAUCUUAUUAAUAAGCAUAAACUAAUUUUAUCUCAACAGUAAAGAUAUUUUCAAUUAUGUCCCUUGAUAAUAACAAUGGUGGUGGUUCUCCCAUUGUAAAUCAGUGUGAGCAUUAAGGGUCACUGUAUCAGUCAGGAUGCCACGCAUCAUUAGUUCUGAGGUUGAGACACCCUAGUCUACACCAUCCUUGUAGGAGUUCGGCCACAAAUUACAGUCUCGUUCCUCAAAAAACAGGUCUGCAAAGAAAAUAAACUUGUU
rnacentral:lncRNA from 1 species